rnacentral:rRNA from 1 species
UACGAAGGGGGCUAGCGUUGUUCGGAAUUACUGGGCGUAAAGCGCGUGUAGGCGGUUGUCCAAGUUGGAUGUGAAAGCCUUGAGCUCAACUCAAGAAAUGCAUUCAGGACUGGAUGACUAGAGGACCGGAGAGGAUAGCGGAAUUCCCAGUGUAGUGGUGAAAUACGUAGAGAUUGGGAAGAACACCAGUGGCGAAGGCGGCUAUCUGGACGGUUUCUGACGCUAAGACGCGAAAGCGUGGGGAGCAAACAGG